CUCUAAAGGAGAGUAGCUGCUGGUACUUCCUUUUUACAAAAUGAGGAUAAAAUGAUGAUGUAAAAACUGUAAUUCAAUUUUGUAGAAGUUUUUUACAUAGAAAAUCUCCUAAUUUCCAUUGUAGUGCUCCUACCCUGUGAAUGAAUUGUUUUUAUUACCAGUCAAUUACUUAUAGUUCAACUGUUAAAAAUUCCUUUUCCAGCUGCAGAUGAGACAUUUCACGCAUCCUGUUUAUUUAGUAUUUGAAGUGAAUGGUGGUUCUUAUGUUCAACAAGAACUAUUGGGACUGCUUUACUAUACCUGCCAGCUUUAAUUUCUGCCCUCCUUUACAGACCAAAAUCCACACCGCAGCUGUAUCUUAACCUCCCAAACACUAUUAUCAUCACUUCUUGUGCUGAUCAGUAAAAUGCAAAAAAGAGAAGCUGACAAUCUGUUCAUAAAACCCUUCUCAAUGCUGGAAUUCUCCAGGCAUGUCUUACCUGGAUAUAGAGGAAGACACUAGGAUCCACAGACAUAUCUUUAACAGCCAAUGUCCAUUCUGACAAAUAAGCAAGUUAAAUUGUUAAGUUGUUUUACAGACACUCAAAAACUCUCUUUAACCAUAUCAUAUGACUCUGGUGAAAAGACUGAACUGAACUUGAGGCAUAGCUCUUGCAGACUUUGGAAAAAGCUCUUGCAGACAAGUGAAAACCAAGAGGAUGAGAAAACUGCCAUAGAGAACCAGAUAACAGCAGUCAUGAGAAACUCAGAUAUUGAAGCAGCACUCACACUACCCUCUACACAGACCUGUUUGUUCUUCCAUGAGCAAAUGUAGAGCCUGCAAGACUAAUAUCUGACUGAAAAAGUAGCCAGAAUCGACUGGACAGGCAUAAACUCCCCACUGUGUGAGCUAACACAGGUGCCAUGAUUAUAAGCAGACAUGAGGAGGGAAGAAUCCAAGAUCUCACCCAUGAGGACUGUAUUCAGAAAACUGGGACCACACCAAACCCCUUACCUCUUUGCCCACAAGAUUUCUCCACCCUCUCUUUCCCAUUAAACUACAAAAGACACAUAUUUAAAACCAUAAGUAAUAAUACAGCAAUUGCCACUGACUACUUUUGAAACACCUAACAUUAGUCAAAACCUCAAGUCUAUCAACAGUUUUCACAGAAAGGCAGCCUGUGGAGCCAAGCAGGAAAAGCACAAGGCCCUCUGAAUUUGCUCCCCUCUGAUUUUGUGCUGAAAUUGCACAGCUGCCAUUUGCCUCACACAAGGGGACUGAGUCUCUGCUGAUUCAGUCUGUCUCACUGUAUCUAAUGUAUGGUGCUUGCACAACCCUUUAAGGUGCAUCAGUACAAAGCCAACGCUGGAGGUGAGUGAGACACAAUAAACUUAAUUUGUCUCAAUCUUCUGCAUUGAGCAUAGGACAAUCCUUCCUUGUCAGUCUCUGCACGUUCUUCAUCU